rnacentral:rRNA from 1 species
GACGAACGCUGGCGGCGUGCUUAACACAUGCAAGUCGAACGGAAAGGCCCUGCUUUUGUGGGGUGCUCGAGUGGCGAACGGGUGAGUAACACGUGAGUAACCUGCCCUUGACUUUGGGAUAACUUCAGGAAACUGGGGCUAAUACCGGAUAUGAGCUCCUGCUGCAUGGUGGGGGUUGGAAAGUUUCGGCGGUUGGGGAUGGACUCGCGGCUUAUCAGCUUGUUGGUGGGGUAGUGGCUUACCUAGGCUUUGACGGGUAGCCGGCCUGAGAGGGUGACCGGCCACAUUGGGACUGAGAUACGGACCAGAAUCCUACGGGAGGCAGCAGUGGGGAAUAUUGCACAAUGGGCGGAAGCCUGAUGCAGCAACGCCGCGUGCGGGAUGACGGCCUUCGGGUUGUAAACCGCUUUCGCCUGUGACGAAGCGUGAGUGACGAUAAUGGGUAAAGAAGCACCGGCUAACUACGUG